rnacentral:piRNA from 1 species
UCUCAUUGUUUUGUAUCCAGUCCUGACUCC